rfam:Camelus ferus unplaced genomic scaffold scaffold914, whole genome shotgun sequence.
UGGGGUAUAGCUCAAGUGGUAGAGCCCAUGUUUAGCAUGCAUGAGGUCCUGGGUUCAAUCCCCAGUACCUCCU